GUUGCCAUCAUUCAGUUGGGCACUCUAGCGAGACUGCCGGUAUAAACCGGAGGAAGGUGGGGAUGACGUCAAAUCAUCAUGCCCCUUAUGACCUGGGCUACACACGUGCUACAAUGGUUGGUACAACGAGUUGCGAGUCGGUGACGGCGAGCUAAUCUCUUAAAGCCAAUCUCAGUUCGGAUUGUAGGCUGCAACUCGCCUACAUGAAGUCGGAAUCGCUAGUAAUCGCGGAUCAGCACGCCGCGGUGAAUACGUUCCCGGGCCUU
rnacentral:rRNA from 1 species